UACGGAGGGAGCUAGCGUUAUUCGGAAUUACUGGGCGUAAAGGGCUCGUAGGCGGCCAACUAAGUCAGACGUGAAAUCCCUCGGCUUAACCGGGGAACUGCAUCUGAUACUGGAUGGCUUGAGUUCGGGAGAGGGAUGCGGAAUUCCAGGUGUAGCGGUGAAAUGCGUAGAUAUCUGGAGGAACACCGGUGGCGAAGGCGGCAUCCUGGACCAACACUGACACUGAGGAGCGAAAGCCAGGGGAGCAAACGGG
rnacentral:rRNA from 1 species